CAAAAGCAAUUCAGAUGGCCCAAGAACAGGCUACAGAUACUGAAAUUUUGGUAUGAGUUAAUACAGAAAGGAGUGACUGAACUUAGAACUGUUGGGAAUGUUCCAGAUGUCUACACCCAGAUUAUGCUUUUGGAAAAUGAGAACAAAAAUUUAAAGAAAGAUUUGAAGCACUACAAACAAGCAGCUGAGUAUGUUAUUUUUUAAAUGACAUUUUCUUCUUUUUCUUUUGGACUAAAUAAAAGAGUUGAGUGAAGCUGAUAUAUGUAAUAUACCAGAGCCUUAAUUUUUGAAAACUGAAUUUUUCUAGUUGUAAAGAAUGUGAGAGGCUUCAUUAGCAAAUUAAUUAAACAGAUGAUCAGAACUAUCACAAUUAUAACUUACCAACAAGAAGGGAAUGCAGGUAGUUGUUUAGGAGAUGGUACAUUUUUUAUAUAACAUUCACUUCCUUGUGUAUUUGAUAGUCUUUUCAUGGUUUAUAACAUUUUCUCCUGUAAAGAUAGGCUAAUUUCUGAAAUAAUAAUUAAAUUUAUAGAAAGCCGAGAGGAAAUUGCUAGUUUAUUCCUGGUAGAGGAAUUUCUGUAUUUGAAAAUUCUCCAGAAGGAAUAAUAUAAACUGUGGACUUUGGGUGAUAAUGAUAUGUAGGUUCGUCAGUUGUUAACAAAUGUAUCCCUCUGUUGGGGGCUAUUGAUAAUGGGGAAGGCUGUGCAUGUGUGGGAGUAGGAGGUGUAUGGGACAUCUCUGUACCUUCUAAUCAAUUUUGCUAUGAACUUAAAACUGCUCUAAAAAUA
rnacentral:lncRNA from 10 species